UACACACAUACACAGGGCAUAUGACUGAGUCAGUUUUUAGUUUGUAGCCGAGUUGAGAUAAGGCUUUCUGGGAAACGUUGCCUGGCUGGACUGCAUUCCAUUUAGAAAUAACCAUGUGGGCUUAACAGCUGCAACUUCCUCGAGCUCUUUAAGACAUUCACUCUGGGUAUAUAAAGUCUGCUGUGUAAGAUAUAGAUGUCCAUGGCCAUGUCAGCCCCCCAGUCGUCUCUGUUUACAUUUGAGUCUACAGUGCAUUCCUCCCAUGUUCUGCGUUGCCUAGAUGAGCAGCGUCUCCGGGACAUGCUGUGUGAUGUUACGGUGCUGGUGGAGGGUCAGUCCUUCAGAGCCCACCGCUCAGUACUCGCUUCCUGUAGUGAGUACUUCACACACAGGAUUUCCUCCCUCACUCACCAUGGAGCGGUUGUCACUCUGCCACCUGAGGUGACUGUAGCUGGAUUUGAACCUUUGCUGAAGUUUGCCUACACAUCCAAACUCCUUUUUGGAAAAGAAAAUGUCUUAGAAAUACAGAGCUCAGCUUCCAUUCUUGGCUUUAAAGACUUAGACGGGGCAUGUUUUGAUUUCCUCCUCCCUAAAUUCUUCUCUAGCAGCAAGAGCUCAGGCUCUUUUUUAAGAAAGGCCUGUUGUAAGAAGAAAUGCAAAAAGAGACUAUCAAAAGAGGAUUGUGUCACAGACUCUGAAGAUGCGUUGUUGGAAGAGAAAGAAGAAAAACCAGUUGCUGACUCACCAUCUCAGCAGGAAGUGGCUUGGGUCUGUAACAAAUCAGUGAACAGCAAAAUGGGAAGUCAGACCAGCGCGAGCACCCUUACACCUGUAACUGACGGGAUGAGCGAUAAUUUUAGACAGUGUCCAAAGUAUCGCAAAUUCCAGCUGGCUUGUGGCACGGAGAAAAGUCAGAACAGUCCUGCAGCUGUAGCAAAGAAUGAUAACGACUCCUCCAGCUCACCCUCCUCCAGCACUAUUACCAGUAAGAACGAAAGUGAGGUCGAAUUCCCUGGAAAAAGUUUCUCAGUCCCCACCAGACAGGGUGAAGAGGGGGUUUUCAAGCCAGUGAAAACUGAAAAACAAGGCUUAGAGACAGAGGAAGACAUGAGGAGAGGAGGUUUUUUUUGUAAAACAGGCACAAAUGAGACAUAUAAUGAGAAACAUAAAGACAUCAGUAUGAAAAUGCAGGAAGAGAUGCAGCAUAACACUGAUGUAAGCAGAGCCUGUGUCAAUGGAGUCAUCACAGGGUCAAGCACAGCGCUGGGUCAAAAGUCAUCAGGGUUAGUUUUGCACCAUUGCCCCUUGAAGGCCAUUUAUGAGAGUCCUGCAGUCACUGGGUCACUUGGGCAACACAAACCUGUUGACUUUACAGAGGAGAAGAAAACGGUAUCUGUUCAUCAAGAAGUAGAAGAACAAGUCCAUCUAGUAAAAGGAAAACAAACAGGCAGCAUGGAGAGUACAGCACUGAGACAGGGCACCAUCAGAGAGAGGAGCAGCGUGGAGAAGGAGGUGGUUGAACCAGGAUCAGAUAUGUGGUCGACUCAGAUGAGCAUCCAAGAUCUGGAUGCGGGAAGUUCCUCAGAUACAGGGAGCAGAACCAAACAGAACGCUCCAAUCGACUGGUUCAAGAUUCAUGUGAAUCUCAGCUCAACAAACACCAGCUGUCCUUUUCUUCAAGAUCUGGACCAAAGGACAAGUUCAUGGAAGGGAACGGGGCUGUCUGAGUGUGAGGGGGCAUCGCAGUCCGGUUUGUCAUCUCUAAACUCAGGAGAAGAUGGAGACUCAGAGACGGAACCGGAGGGAGACAGUGAAUCCUACACAAGAGAGAGAGCCAGGCAGGUGCAGUUGCCAUACUCUGUGGACUGGAUUGUGGAUCUGAGCAGAAAUGAUUUCCAGCAGCUGCUGAAGCAACAGAACUUUACACGUGAACAGCUGGAUUUAGUCCAUGACAUGAGGCGGCGAAGCAAAAACCGCCUCGCUGCUCAGCGCUGUCGCAAAAGGAAACUAGACUGUAUAUACAAUCUGCAGUGUGAAAUCAACAAGCUGAAAACAGAGAGAGAGAAGCUGAUGAUGGAGAAGAGCCAACUGAACCAGCAGAAGGUGAAAACCUGUCACAGUGUCUCUGCUUUAUGCCAGAGGGUUUGCAGUGAAGCCAACCUACAGCCGGAGCAGCUGCAGGUGUUGGCCAAAUACACCUCCCCAGACUGCCCUUUGUCCUCUUUUUUCCCUAACAUAGACUCUCUGCUCUCUCACUGUGGAGUGCCACUUCACCCUGAGGCUGUGUUUUCAGGCUACCCCGCUGGUCCCGCUGACUAUGACAGGGCCUCAUCCACGUCCGACAGGGACGCAGUCACAGGGGAUCCUCAACACUCAGCCACUGGAGAGGCACCAUAGGCACACAUCUGUACAACUUCAUAUGAGAACCACACAGAGAUGGAGCCACAGAAUACAUACAUUUACCAAAGAGGUUAUCAAAAGCAGAUAAUAUAGUGGUAUAUUUGUAAUCUAAAAUGAAUGAUUAUUAUGAUAUAUCCAUGAUAAUCACUUUUUUUUUUUUAAACUAAGCAUAAGCCUCAGAUACACUUUUAAGUUAGAGGUCACAACACAAUCCCCAUUUGUUUUACCUUAACACCUAUUACAAGUAUUUGACAUUCCUGUGGGUUGUUCCACUGAAAAGGGCUGAGCUAAUGACAGCUUAUUUUAUGACUGAUAUGAUAUGAUUUCAAUUCAUGAAACAAAAAGAAACCAUCUAUUAAUCAUCACAGCCAAGGAGAAUGCUAAAAAUCAUUUAGCACUGAGACAAUCACAACUUCAUUCAUAAAUCAAACAGUGCUCUUUAGACUUGUAACUGGAUUCAUUGAUCGAUUCCCUCAGGAUGAAUAUUGUUAUUAAUAGUGCUAUUUUGAUACAAAUAUGUUAUCAGGUGUUAAAAACACAGAAUACCUCAGACAGUGCUGGUUCUUCUGUUAAAUGUGCAAUACACCACAGGGUUAUGGACCAAACCAAAGCCUUGACAUGUCGUUGUAUAUGUUAUAUGUUGUGUUUACUUUCUGGUUGAAUGUCUGCCUCUUGUAUUUCAGGUUGUCAUUGUGGUCACCUAUCCUCAGCUGACCACGGUGACACAGCGCUUCUAUAUCACACACAGCUCUCAUUCCUGUUUUUACUCACUAACAGACUUCACAUUUGCCUAAAUAUUUGCUUAAAAGAUGUACUGCUAUUCCAACACUGCACCUUAUCAAUGCAUUUCAUGCUGUGUGGUUGUUAAUAGGAUUAUGAAAAAAAAAUUAAGUUGUCAAGUGAAUAAUGUAGCAAUAACCGCAUUUCUUUCCAUUUAAAUUCACUCUAAACUGUACCGUGAAUGCUACUUUUUAAUGUUGUGAUCCAGUCUUUUAAUUUAUUACUGCUUCCUACAGAUCUGAUUUGACCUGUCACCUACUUUCUAUCUGUAUAUAGAGGAUCUGAACUCCUCCCUUCAACAUUAUCAAGCUUUACUGUACAAUAAAUGUAUGUAAUUAGAGAUUUAUUUUCACUACUGGCAAUCUGUACAAUACAACUGGUCUCCAUUGUUAUUUAUGUCAAAUAUAAAAUCAGGUAAAGGUAGAUUUUACAAUAAAAACUGUAGUUUAACCACAAUGUGUUUUUUAAGACACUGCAAAUGAAACAACGAUACCAAUAAUAAAACCGGUGCUUACUGCCCUCUAGUGGGAGUAAAUGUACAAAAAUGCCACUGAGAGCUGUGACAAUGUGUAUAUAACUCUUUUUGUUGCACAACUCUUUUACUUUUUUCUUUUUUUACAUAUAUUUUGCAAUGAUAUAUUUUUAUGUCAAUGUUCAAAUUGAGUCCUGCAUCUUUAACCAAAAUGGAAAAGAAAUUGAUCAGCAUUCAAACUGAAAUAAAUGCUAC